UGCAAUACAAUUACAUCCAUUCAUUUCUCUUGUAUCACACAAAAUGGCUAAAAACACAAUUUUUGCUAUCUUUAUGAUCGUUCUUGUUCUAGGGAUGGGGAUGAAGGACACACAAGGACAACAAUUGUGUCAUGAACGAUUUAUAGGAGCAACCCCUUGUGUACCUCCACAGUGUGCCGAACAAUGUACUGCAAAGUGGGGAGAGAGAGCGGGAAGAGGGACAUGUCUAGGAGGGCCAGGACCCGCCAAUACCUGCCUCUGCACUUUUAAAUGCCAAAUUUGAUACUUUUUUUUGUUACUGUCAUCAGAUAUAUUGUAAUAAAAUAAUGGGUUGGAAAAAAAAGAAUAUAGAAAAAAAAAAUUUUAGUUUAAUGGGACUUUGAAUUUUUAUCUCA